GAAGUAUCAUAAAUAAUUCCAAAGGUUACCGAUAAUCUUCCAGAGAAAAUGAAGAAAAAAAGUCAAGGUGAAACACAUUAAACAACGGGAAGUUCUGAUCUGGAAAGAUGGAGGAAGAAGAAGAGAAUGUUUCCACCAGGAAUUAGAUGA